rnacentral:rRNA from 1 species
UACAGAGGUCUCAAGCGUUGUUCGGAUUCAUUGGGCGUAAAGGGUGCGUAGGCGGCGCGGUAAGUCGGGUGUGAAAUUUCGAGGCUUAACUUCGAAACUGCAUUCGAUACUGCCGUGCUAGAGGACUGGAGAGGAGACUGGAAUUUACGGUGUAGCGGUGAAAUGCGUAGAUAUCGUAAGGAAGACCAGUGGCGAAGGCGGGUCUCUGGACAGUUCCUGACGCUGGAGGCACGAAGGUCAGGGGAGCAAACGGG